AACCCUAAUCAAUGAAACCCUAU
rnacentral:siRNA from 1 species